UACGUAGGGUGCAAGCGUUAAUCGGAAUUACUGGGCGUAAAGCGUGCGCAGGCGGUGAUGUAAGACAGAUGUGAAAUCCCCGGGCUCAACCUGGGAACUGCAUUUGUGCACUGGCAUCGCUGGAGUACGGCAGAGGGGAUGGAAUUCCGCGUGUAGCAGUGAAAUGCGUAGAUAUGCGGAGGAACACCGAUGGCGAAGGCAAUCCCCUGGGCCGCACGUGACGC
rnacentral:rRNA from 1 species